AUUGAACGCUGGCGGCAGGCUUAACACAUGCAAGUCGAGCGGGGUGAUGGUGCUUGCACUAUCACUUAGCGGCGGACGGGUGAGUAAUGCUUAGGAAUCUGCCUAUUAGUGGGGGACAACAUCUCGAAAGGGAUGCUAAUACCGCAUACGUCCUACGGGAGAAAGCAGGGGAUCACUUGUGACCUUGCGCUAAUAGAUGAGCCUAAGUCGGAUUAGCUAGUUGGUGGGGUAAAGGCCUACCAAGGCGACGAUCUGUAGCGGGUCUGCGAGGAGGAGCCGCCACACUGGGACGUAGACACGGCCCAGACUCCUACGGGAGGCAGCAGUGGUGAAUAUUGGACAAUGGGGGGAACCCUGAUCCAGCCAUGCCGCGUGUGUGAAGAAGGCCUUAUGGUUGUAAAGCACUUUAAGCGAGGAGGAGGCUCUUUUGGUUAAUACCCAAGAUGAGUGGACGUUACUCGCAGAAUAAGCACCGGCUAACUCUGUGCCAGCCGCCGCGGUAA
rnacentral:rRNA from 1 species